GCUUACUUGACAGCAAAUGCUCAAGAGAGCAAAAUGUCCUCCUGCUGGAUCCUGACUUUCCAAGGCUCUCACUUCAGGUCUUCCUGAGGGAUGCCAAGGAUGCCAACAUGGGCUUAUUUCUCACCUCAGAUGCCUCUGGCCAAUUGGCAAGGGGCACCCACAGAGAGCUCCAAUCCUGUUUCAGCUGCCAACUCAAAUGCUGCUUUCUACAUGAUAUACCUCCUGCAAUAAAGCUCUAAGAUGGAAGAAAGACUAUGAAAUAAAGAGGCAAGGAUGGAAUAAUGUCAUAGUUCUACUUGUGAGA
rnacentral:lncRNA from 1 species